rnacentral:rRNA from 1 species
UACGGAGGGUGCAAGCGUUGUUCGGAAUUAUUGGGCGUAAAGCGCGCGCAGGCGGUCUGAAAAGUCUAUGGGUGAAAUGCCGGGGCUCAACCCCGUGCAUGCCCAGGAUACUGUCAGACUGGAGACAGGUAGAGGCAAGCGGAAUUCCGGGUGUAGCGGUGGAAUGCGUAGAGAUCCGGAAGAACACCGGAGGCGAAGGCGGCUUGCUGGGCGUGAUCUGACGCUGAGGCGCGAAAGCGUGGGGAGCGAACAGG